rnacentral:rRNA from 1 species
UACGUAGGGUGCGAGCGUUAAUCGGAAUACUGGGCGUAAAGCGUGCGCAGGCGGUGAUGUAAGACAGAUGUGAAAUCCCCGGGCUCAACCUGGGAACUGCAUUUGUGACUGCAUCGCUGGAGUGCGGCAGAGGGGGAUGGAAUUCCGCGUGUAGCAGUGAAAUGCGUAGAUAUGGCGGAGGAACACCGAUGGCGAAGGCAAUCCCCUGGGCCUGCACUGACGCUCAUGCACGAAAGCGUGGGGAGCAAACAGG